rnacentral:rRNA from 1 species
UGGGGUUGCACAGACAACUAGGAUGUUAGCUUAGAAGCAGCUAUUCAUUCAAAGAGUGCGUAAUAGCUCACUAGUCGAGUGACCCUGCGCCGAAAAUGUACCGGGGCUAAAACAAUUUACCGAAGCUGUGGAUAACACAAUCGUGUUAUGGUAGGAGAGCGUUCUAUGUGUGGAGAAGGUAUACCGUGAGGAGUGCUGGAACGCAUAGAAGUGAGAAUGCCGGUAUGAGUAGCGAAAGACAGGUGAGAAUCCUGUCCACCGUAAGACUAAGGUUUCCAGGGGAAGGCUCGUCCGCCCUGGGUUAGUCGGGACCUAAGGAGAGACCGACAGGUGUAUCCGAUGGCCAACAGGUUGAUAUUCCUGUACUAGUGUAUAUAGUGAUGGAGGGACGCAGUAGGCUAACUAAACCCAGCGAAUGGAAGUGCUGGGCUAAACAGUGAGGUGUGUUAGGAGUUAAAUGCUUCUAGCUAUAACAUUGAGCUGUGAUGGGGAGCGAAGUUUAGUAGCGAAGUUAGUGACGUCACACUGCCAAGAAAAGCUUCUAGCGUUUAAGUAUACACUACCCGUACCGCAAACCGACACAGGUAGUCGAGGCGAGUAGCCUCAGGUGAUCGAGAGAACUCUCGUUAAGGAACUCGGCAAAAUGACCCCGUAACUUCGGGAGAAGGGGUGCUCAGUUUAACUGAGCCGCAGUGAAUAGGCCCAAGCAACUGUUUAUCAAAAACACAGCUCUCUGCUAAAUCGUAAGAUGAUGUAUAGGGGGUGACGCCUGCCCGGUGCUGGAAGGUUAAGAGGAGCGCUUAGCGUAAGCGAAGGUGUGAAUUGAAGCCCCAGUAAACGGCGGCCGUAACUAUAACGGUCCUAAGGUAGCGAAAUUCCUUGUCGGGUAAGUUCCGACCCGCACGAAAGGCGUAAUGAUUUGGGCACUGUCUCAACGAGAGACUCGGUGAAAUUUUAGUACCUGUGAAGAUGCAGGUUACCCGCGACAGGACGGAAAGACCCCAUGGAGCUUUACUGCAGUUUGAUAUUGAGUAUCUGUACCACAUGUACAGGAUAGGUAGGAGCC